UUCCGCCUCUUGCUUGCUAAUGGCCGUUACAUGUUUUGGUCAGCUAUGGAGCAUGCGCACUGGGAGGGAUGUCCGGAAUGAAAUAGACCUCCAUGAGAGCCACAAGCUGGCAUUCAACAACUUGAAAACUGGAUUGAAAAUGAGAGACAGAGCAGCCACUCCAGAAGCUUCCAAAAUCACGCUGCACCUUCUUGAACUGCUGCAAUCCACGUGGUGACGUAGCUCCCAUGUUGCAAUUUGGAUGUGGACUUCCCUGGUUUGGCCAGAAUUUAUUGCCCAUCUGUGAUUGCCCAGAGGGCUAUCAAGUGUCAACUGCAUUGCCGUACGGCUGGAGUCACAUACAGAUGAAACCAGGGAAUUGGAAAGGGAGCAUUUACUGACCGGCAGCUCAACUCAUACACUGGAUCAAAAACUGCCAAGAACACUUUAUUCUCAGGAGCUUUGAACAUGGAAGGAACAAGCAUCAUUUGCAGUGAAGAGAAACCAUACAUGUGGUCUGUGUGGACAAGCCUUCAGUCAGUUGUCUGGCCUGUCAGUACGUAAAUGCAGUCAAAACAGGAUGACAACAAUGACAUCAAGCAGCACUUGCUUUGUAAUAGAUAGAUCUCAGUUUGAGUUAAGCAAUGGUCACUCAUAUCCUCUCCUCCUUAUGUUCUUGGUACAAACCUAGACCAAACAGCUGAAUUCCAAAUGUGAGAGUGACUAUCCACUAUCUUAAGACUCCCUUUGACAGAGCAUUGUAUGAAGGAAUCAUGACAAAGCUAAAUUCAAUAGGAACCAGAGAAUUUUAUUCUUCCUUGAACAGCCGGUUUUUGAAAACAUUGUGUCUUCAGACCUCAGUAGAUUGAAACAAGGUGAAUUUAUUUUAACUUGUACCACAGACAUACGGAAGAGGUCUCUAAGUCUAGCUCGGAGACACACAACCUUUUACAGCUCUAAACAGCAUAUUAAGGCAUUUUCACAUCAGAAUGGUUGCAUGUAACAUUGGCACAUAAUUUAUUACAUAUCAGUUACUUAUUACAAAAA